CAAGGGAAAAGAGAGUGGCAGUAGUGGGCCCAACAAAUUCAUCCUCAUCAGCUGUGGGGGAGCCCCAACUCAGCCUCCAGGACUCCGGCCUCAAACCCAAACCAGCUAUGAUGCCAAAAGGACAGAAGUGACCCUGGAGACCUUGGGACCAAAACCUGCAGCUAGGGAUGUGAAUCUUCCUAGGCCACCUGGAGUCCUUUGCCAGCAGAAACGGGAGACCUGUGCAGAUGGUGAGGCAGCAGGCUGCACUAUCAACAAUAGCCUAUCCAACAUCCAGUGGCUUCGAAAGAUGAGUUCUGAUGGACUGGGCUCCUGCAGCAUCAAGCAAGAGAUGGAGGAAAAGGAGAAUUGUCACCUGGAGCAGAGACAGGUUAAGGUUGAGGAGCCUUCGAGACCAUCAACGUCCUGGCAGAACUCUGUGUCUGAGCGGCCACCCUACUCUUACAUGGCCAUGAUACAAUUCGCCAUCAACAGCACUGAGAGGAAGCGCAUGACUUUGAAAGACAUCUACACGUGGAUUGAGGACCACUUUCCCUACUUUAAGCACAUUGCCAAGCCAGGCUGGAAGGUAAUAUGUCCCACAGCAACCAAAAUCAAGGUCAGUCCAGCCUGACGGUCUGUCUCCAGUGCUGUACUGCAACUUGUAUCUGGGACAGCAGUUAAGUGCAAAGGAUACUAGAAUGAUAAACAAAUGUAUCUUUUAGAUUGUGACUCAAUCUUAUUGAAUCCAGGCAAAAUCAUUAAGAAGAGCUCUUUAACUACUUCAUGUGUUACUACCUAAAGUCCAUGGAGGGUCUUCAAUGUAGCACUCAAGCCCACUUUUCUGCUACACUCAACAGCCGUCCUAGAUGCCAGCAGCUAGAGUGGCUAAGUAGUUUUAUGAAAAUGUCUUGAUUAAAAAA
rnacentral:sRNA from 1 species